GCGCUUGUAGCUCAAUGGAUAAAGCGUUGGUCUCCGGAACCAAAAAUCCGAGUUCGAUUCUCGGCAAGCGCA
rnacentral:tRNA from 1 species